AAAUGACAUUAGGAAAUAUUGUGAGAGAAUGAUCUCUAUUUAUAAAAGAGAGUUUCUAGUUUCAUUUUGACAUUGACACGUGUCGUGUUGUGAUUGGUUUCUGAUGUUGACACGUGUCGCGCAGUGAUUGGCCUUCUUGUUGGAGGGAAACUCUUCUGGGUCCUUGACGGUAUAACGUUGACUGGUGCUCAGUAGUUUCAGGAUGGGUCAAGUAUGGUACAAACAACCCUCAAUCUUAGCAUUCAGUCCGAGCUCACUCCACCGAUUUAGCUUUCCCACACAUAAUUCUAGGCACUUGAAA
rnacentral:lncRNA from 1 species